rnacentral:rRNA from 1 species
UACAGAGGUCUCAAGCGUUGUUCGGAUUCAUUGGGCGUAAAGGGUGUGUAGGUGGCGCCGUAAGUCGGGUGUGAAAUUUCGGAGCUUAACUCCGAAACUGCAUUCGAUACUGCGGUGCUUGAGGACUGGAGAGGAGACUGGAAUUCAUGGUGUAGCAGUGAAAUGCGUAGAGAUCAUGAGGAAGACCGGUGGCGAAGGCGGAUCUCUGGACAGUUCCUGACGCUGAGGCGCGAAGGCCAGGGGAGCAAACGGG